rnacentral:tRNA from 1 species
GUGGAUAUAGCUCAGUUGGGAGAGCGACGGACUGUGGCUCCGUAGGUCGUGGGUUCGAAACCCUCUAUCCACCCCA